AAGCACCUCUGUUGUCAUAGCAACGCAUUAUGACUAUCAACAAUAAUGGAGGACUACAUACCGAUACUUUUGCUCCUGGCUUUACAAAUUCACACUGGAAUUCAAAGACGGGCCUUGACAGCUCUUCGUGACCGCUAUGGACAGAGGACACGUUCAAGGAGAAAGGUUGUAUUAUGGCUGAGGGCAAGGCAGAGGAGGACACAUGUUGUCUGGGCAUACCACCGAUCACACUAUUGGUGGGACACAGUUGUGCCG